rnacentral:rRNA from 1 species
GAUGAACGCUGGCGGCGUGCCUAAUACAUGCAAGUCGAGCGAACGGACGAGAAGCUUGCUUCUCUGAUGUUAGCGGCGGACGGGUGAGUAACACGUGGAUAACCUACCUAUAAGACUGGGAUAACUUCGGGAAACCGGAGCUAAUACCGGGUAAUAUUUUGAACCGCAUGGUUCAAAAGUGAAAGACGGUCUUGCUGUCACUUAUAGAUGGAUCCGCGCUGCAUUAGCUAGUUGGUAAGGUAACGGCUUACCAAGGCCACGAUGCAUAGCCGACCUGAGAGGGUGAUCGGCCACACUGGAACUGAGACACGGUCCAGACUCCUACGGGAGGCAGCAGUAGGGAAUCUUCCGCAAUGGGCGAAAGCCUGACGGAGCAACGCCGCGUGAGUGAUGAAGGUCUUCGGAUCGUAAAACUCUGUUAUUAGGGAAGAACAUAUGUGUAAGUAACUGUGCACAUCUUGACGGUACCUAAUCAGAAAGCCACGGCUAACUACGUG